rnacentral:rRNA from 2 species
CUAGCAUAUCAAUAAGCGGAGGAAAAGAAACCAACAGGGAUUGCCCCAGUAACGGCGAGUGAAGCGGCAACAGCUCAAAUUUGAAAUCUGGCUUCGGCCCGAGUUGUAAUUUGCAGAGGAUGUUUAUGGUGAGGUACCUUCCGAGUUCCCUGGAACGGGACGCCACAGAGGGUGAGAGCCCCGUCUGGUUGGAUACCAAGCCUGUGUUAAACUCCUUCAACGAGUCGAGUAGUUUGGGAAUGCUGCUCUAAAUGGGAGGUAAAUCUCUUCUAAAGCUAAAUACCGGCCAGAGACCGAUAGCGCACAAGUAGAGUGAUCGAAAGAUGAAAAGCACCUUGAAAAGGGGGUUAAACAGUACGUGAAAUUGUUGAAAGGGAAGCGUUUAUGACCAGACUUGUGCCGUGUGGCUCAUCCGUGGUUCUCCACGGUGCACUCCACGCGGCUCAGGCCAACAUCGGUUCUCGCCGGGGGAUAAGAACAGCAGGAACGUGGCCCCUCUCGGGGGGUGUUAUAGCCUGCUGUACGAUACUCUGGUGGGGACCGAGGACCGCGCUUCGGCUAGGAUGUUGGCGUAAUGGUCAUUAGCGACCCGUCUUGAAACACGGACCAAGGAGUCGUCCAUUAGAGCGAGCGUUUGGGUGUCAAACCCGCACGCGUAAUGAAAGUGAAAUUAGGUGAGAGCUUCGGCGCAUCAUCGACCGAUCCUGAAGUUUACGGAUGGAUUUGAGUAAGAGUUUUAACGGACGGACCCGAAAGACAGUGAACUAUGCUUGAAUAGGGUGAAGCCAGAGGAAACUCUGGUGGAGGCUCGCAGCGGUUCUGACGUGCAAAUCGAUCGUCAAAUUUGAGCAUGGGGGCGAAAGACUAAUCGAACUGUCUAGUAGCUGGUUACCGCCGAAGAUUCCCUCCCGAGGGAGGA